UCAGAGGUCAGAACUGAGGAGGGAAGUGGU
rnacentral:piRNA from 1 species